UUUUGACCUCGGAUCAGGUAGGGAUUUUAGCCCCCUGAACUUAAGCAUACAA
rnacentral:rRNA from 1 species